CCUACGGGCGGCAGCAGUGGGGAAUAUUGCGCAAUGGGCGAAAGCCUGACGCAGCGACGCCGCGUGAGGGAUGAAGGUCUUCGGAUCGUAAACCUCUGUCAGCAGGGAAGAACGGUCACUGUGCUAAUCAGCAGUGAAUUGACGGUACCUGCAAAGGAAGCACCGGCUAACUCCGUGCCAGCAGCCGCGGGAAGACGGAGGGUGCGAGCGUUAAUCGGAAUUACUGGGCGUAAAGCGCUCGUAGGCGGUAUGUCAAGUCAAGGGUGAAAUCCCCGCGCUCAACGUGGGAACUGCCUUUGAAACUGGCAAACUGGAGUGUGUGGGAGGAUAGUGGAAUUCCAGGUGUAGGAGGGAAAGCCGUAGAGAUCUGGAGGAACAUCAGUGGCGAAGGCGACUAUCUGGCACAUAACUGACGCUGAGGAGCGAAAGCGUGGGAAGCAAACAGGAUUAGAUACCCGUGUAGUC
rnacentral:rRNA from 1 species